rnacentral:rRNA from 1 species
UACGUAGGCAGCAAGCGUUGUUCGGAGUUACUGGGCGUACAGGGUGCGUAGGCGGCUUUUUAAGUUUGGUGUGAAAUCUCCCGGCUCAACUGGGAGGGUGCGCCGAAUACUGAGAGGCUAGAGUGUGGGAGAGGAAAGUGGAAUUCCUGGUGUAGCGGUGAAAUGCGUAGAUAUCAGGAAGAACACCCGUGGCGAAGGCGGCUCUCUGGGACGGUACUGACGCUGAGACGCGAAAGCGUGGGGAGCGAACAGG